rnacentral:rRNA from 1 species
UACGGAGGGUGCAAGCGUUAUCCGGAUUCACUGGGUUUAAAGGGAGCGUAGGUGGGUCUGUAAGUCAGUGGUGAAAUCUCCGGGCUUAACCUGGAAACUGCCAUUGAUACUAUAGGUCUUGAAUAUUGUGGAGGUUAGCGGAAUAUGUCAUGUAGCGGUGAAAUGCUUAGAUAUGACAUAGAACACCAAUUGCGAAGGCAGCUGGCUACGCAUAUAUUGACACUGGGGCUCGAAAGCGUGGGGAUCAAACAGG